UGCUUUUAUUCAGAAAAGCAGUUUGGGCCUUCAAACUCAAUGUCAAACAAACACUUAGUUAAUUGCUGCUUUGAAAAUAAAAAAUAUUUCAUUGGCAGUCAGUGGGCCAUUGUUUGGUGGGGCUCACAGCCAUAGGGUGUACGGAGCUGACAGUUAUUGCAAAAUGCUGAAUAAUGGGACUGUGUUGGGAAUGUAAAUUCCAUAUAAAUGGUUAGGUUGUAACAUUAAAGUGUGUAGAUCAAAAUAUAAUGCAACUCAGUCUAUAUUAAAAUGAAUUAAGACGUAAUUUGUUUAACAUUCUUUCCAAAUUUAACAUGGUAUUAGAGCGUGAUUAGGUUGUGGGUUUCAGCCGUCCAUUGUUUCCAUAUUGGGUUAAUAGUACUUAAUUGCCAUAUUGGGUUAAUUGAUGUAUAAAGCAAUUUAUUUACUUAUAUAAGCAUGCAUUAAAAUGAAUUUAUUCGUAAUUUGUCCAAUACUCUCUCCAAAUUUAACAUAUCCGAUUCUGCCCUUGAGGCUGGGUAAUGGGCUUCUUGAGUAUUUUAUGUGUUGUGAACUGAGGGACUAUAAUUUUCCAGUCCACCUUUUACUAAAUGGAAUUUCAUUUAAGCAGUAUUGGUAAAAUUGUUAUGAGAAGGUG
rnacentral:misc_RNA from 1 species